AGGCAGCAGUAGGGAAUCUUCCGCAAUGGACGAAAGUCUGACGGAGCAACGCCGCGUGAGUGAUGAAGGUUUUCGGAUCGUAAAGCUCUGUUGUUAGGGAAGAACAAGUGCGAGAGUAACUGCUCGCACCUUGACGGUACCUAACCAGAAAGCCACGGCUAACUACGUGCCAGCAGCCGCGGUAAUACGUAGGUGGCAAGCGUUGUCCGGAAUUAUUGGGCGUAAAGGGCUCGCAGGCGGUUUCUUAAGUCUGAUGUGAAAGCCCCCGGCUCAACCGGGGAGGGUCAUUGGAAACUGGGAAACUUGAGUGCAGAAGAGGAGAGUGGAAUUCCACGUGUAGCGGUGAAAUGCGUAGGGAUGUGGAGGAACACCAGUGGCGAAGGCGACUCUCUGGUCUGUAACUGACGCUGAGGAGCGAAAGCGUGGGGAGCGAACAGGAUUAGAUACCCUGGUAGUCCACGCCGUAAACGAUGAGUGCUAAGUGUUAGGGGGUUUCCGCCCCUUAGUGCUGCAGCUAACGCAUUAAGCACUCCGCCUGGGGAGUACGGUCGCAAGACUGAAACUCAAAGGAAUUGACGGGGGCCCGCACAAGCGGUGGAGCAUGUGGUUUAAUUCGAAGCAACGCGAAGAACCUUACCAGGUCUUGACAUCCUCUGACAACCCUAGAGAUAGGGCUUUCCCUUCGGGGACAGAGUGACAGGUGGUGCAUGGUUGUCGUCAGCUCGUGUCGUGAGAUGUUGGGUUAAGUCCCGCAACGAGCGCAACCCUUGAUCUUAGUUGCCAGCAUUCAGUUGGGCACUCUAAGGUGACUGCCGGUGACAAACCGGAGGAAGGUGGGGAUGACGUCAAAUCAUCAUGCCCCUUAUGACCUGGGCUACACACGUGCUACAAUGGACAGAACAAAGGGCUGCAAGACCGCAAGGUUUAGCCAAUCCCAUAAAUCUGUUCUCAGUUCGGAUCGCAGUCUGCAACUCGACUGCGUGAAGCUGGAAUCGCUAGUAAUCGCGGAUCAGCAUGCCGCGGUGAAUACGUUCCCGGGCCUUGUACACACCGCCCGUCACACCACGAGAGUUUGCAACACCCGAAGUCGGUGAGGUAACCUUUAUGGAGCCAGCCGCCGAAGGUGGGGCAGAUGAUUGGGGUGAAGUCGUAACAAGGUAACC
rnacentral:rRNA from 1 species